rnacentral:rRNA from 1 species
AGUGAACGCUGGCGGUAGGCCUAACACAUGCAAGUCGAACGGCAGCACAGUAAGAGCUUGCUCUUACGGGUGGCGAGUGGCGGACGGGUGAGGAAUACAUCGGAAUCUACUUUUUCGUGGGGGAUAAAGUAGGGAAACUUACGCUAAUACCGCAUACGACCUACGGGUGAAAGCAGGGGAUCUUCGGACCUUGCGCGAUUGAAUGAGCCGAUGUCGGAUUAGCUAGUUGGCGGGGUAAAGGCCCACCAAGGCGACGAUCCGUAGCUGGUCUGAGAGGAUGAUCAGCCACACCGGAACUGAGACACGGUCCAGACUCCUACGGGAGGCAGCAGUGGGGAAUAUUGGACAAUGGGCGCAAGCCUGAUCCAGCCAUACCGCGUGGGUGAAGAAGGCCUUCGGGUUGUAAAGCCCUUUUGUUGGGAAAGAAAAGCAGCAGGUUAAUACCCCGCUGUUCUGACGGUACCCAAAGAAUAAGCACCGGCUAACUUCGUG